GACGAACGCUGGCGGCGUGCUUAACACAUGCAAGUCGAACGGUGACGAGGAGCUUGCUCCUCUGAUCAGUGGCGAACGGGUGAGUAACACGUGAGCAACCUGCCCCAGACUCUGGGAUAACAGUUGGAAACAGCUGCUAAUACCGGAUACGAGACGGAGAGGCAUCUCUACCGUCUGGAAAGUUUUUCGGUCUGGGAUGGACUCGCGGCCUAUCAGCUAGUUGGUGAGGUAAUGGCUCACCAAGGCGACGACGGGUAGCCGGCCUGAGAGGGCGACCGGCCACACUGGGACUGAGACACGGCCCAGACUCCUACGGGAGGCAGCAGUGGGGAAUAUUGCACAAUGGGCGAAAGACCUGACCCACGCCAUGCCGCGUGAAGGAAGACGGCCUUAUGGGUUGUAAACUUCUUUACUACGCGAAUAGAGGUUAGUACGAGAUACUAAUAGGAAGGUAAGUGUAGUAAAAGAACACCGGACGUAACUACCGUCGUCCAGCAGCCGCCGGUAAAGACUACG
rnacentral:rRNA from 1 species